rnacentral:rRNA from 1 species
AACGAACGCUGGCGGCAGGCCUAACGCAUGCAAGUCGAACGCUGUAGCAAUACAGAGUGGCAGACGGGUGAGUAACACGUGGGAAUCUUCCUAUCGGUACGGAAUAGCUCAGGGAAACUCGGGGUAAUACCGCAUACGCCCUUCGGGGGCAAGAUUUAUCGCCGAUAGAUGAGCCCGCGUCUGAUUAGCUAGUUGGUGAGGUAAUGGCUCACCAAGGCGACGAUCAGUAGCUGGUCUGAGAGGAUGACCAGCCACACUGGGACUGAGACACGGCCCAGACUCCUACGGGAGGCAGCAGUGGGGAAUAUUGGACAAUGGGGGCAACCCUGAUCCAGCCAUGCCGCGUGAGUGACGAAGGUCUUCGGAUUGUAAAGCUCUUUUGGCGGGGACGAUAAUGACGGUACCCGCAGAAUAAGCCCCGGCUAACUUCGUGCCAGCCGCCGCAGUAA